rnacentral:rRNA from 1 species
GAUGAACGCUAGCUACAGGCUUAACACAUGCAAGUCGCGGGGCAUCAUGGAGGUUGCUUGCAAUUUCUGAUGGCGACCGGCGCACGGGUGAGUAACGCGUAUCCAACCUUCCCAUUACUACGGCAUACCCCGUUGAAAGGCGGCCUAAUUCCGUAUGCAGUCCGAAGCAGUCAUCUAAUUUGGACGAAAGGUAUAUUCUAUCGGUAAUGGAUGGGGAUGCGUCCGAUUAGCCAGCCGGCGGGGUAACGGCCCACCGGGGCAUUGAUCGGUAGGGGUUCUGAGAGGAAGGUCCCCCACACUGGAACUGAGACACGGUCCAGACUCCUACGGGAGGCAGCAGUGAGGAAUAUUGGUCAAUGGGCGUAAGCCUGAAACCCAGCCAAGUAAGCGUGCA